rnacentral:rRNA from 1 species
AUGAACGCUGGCGGCGUGCCUAAUACAUGCAAGUCGAGCGAACGGACGAGAAGCUUGCUUCUCUGAUGUUAGCGGCGGACGGGUGAGUAACACGUGGAUAACCUACCUAUAAGACUGGGAUAACUUCGGGAAACCGGAGCUAAUACCGGAUAAUAUUUUGAACCGCAUGGUUCAAAAGUGAAAGACGGUCUUGCUGUCACUUAUAGAUGGAUCCGCGCUGCAUUAGCUAGUUGGUAAGGUAACGGCUUACCAAGGCAACGAUGCAUAGCCGACCUGAGAGGGUGAUCGGCCGCACUGGAACUGAGACACGGUCCAGACUCCUACGGGAGGCAGCAGUAGGGAAUCUUCCGCAAUGGGCGAAAGCCUGACGGAGCAACGCCGCGUGAGUGAUGAAGGUCUUCGGAUCGUAAAACUCUGUUAUUAGGGAAGAACAUAUGUGUAAGUAACUGUGCACAUCUUGACGGUACCUAAUCAGAAAGCCACGGCUAACUACGUG